rnacentral:rRNA from 1 species
AACGAACGUUAGCGGCGCGCCUAACACAUGCAAGUCGAACGCGAGAGGGGCAAUUCUCUUGAGUGGCGCAAGGGUGAGAAACACGUAGGUAAUCUUUCACCGAGUGGUGGAUAACCUUCCGAAAGGAGGGCUAAUACAGACUAAGAUCACGGCAUCGAACGAGGCUGAGCUCAAAGCGGAGGAUCGCAAGACUUCGCGCUAGGGGAUGAGCCGGCGGACCAUCAGGUCGUUGGCGGGGUAACAGCCAACCAAGCCUAAGACGGGUAGCUGGUCUGAGAGGAUGAUCAGCCACACUGGAACUGAGACACGGUCCAGACUCCUACGGGAGGCAGCAGUGGGGAAUCUUGCGCAAUGGACGAAAGUCUGACGCAGCGACGCCGCGUGGGUGAUGAAGGCCUUCGGGGUGUAAAGCCCUGUGGGGAGGGACGAAUAAGUUCCGGUUAAUACCCGGAGCGAUGACGGUACCUCCUUAGCAAGCACCGGCUAACUCUGUGCCAGCCGCCGCGGUAACAC